rnacentral:rRNA from 1 species
CCGGCGACCGGCGCACGGGUGAGUAACACGUAUGCAACCUGCCCUCUUCAGGGGGACAACCUUCCGAAAGGGAGGCUAAUCCCGCGUAUAUCGGUUUCGGGCAUCCGAGAUCGAGGAAAGAUUCAUCGGAAGAGGAUGGGCAUGCGGUGCAUUAGCUAGACGGCGGGGUAACGGCCCACCGUGGCGACGAUGCGUAGGGGUUCUGAGAGGAAGGUCCCCCACACUGGUACUGAGACACGGACCAGACUCCUACGGAAGGCAGCAG